UUCCGUAGGUGAACCUGCGGAAGGAUCAUUAAUAAAUGGCUCUGAUAUAGAGCACUUAAUAAUCCUACCCUUUGUGAAUUUGUUGUUUGAAAUAAUUUUUUUAAAAUUAUUGAUUGUCUUUCCCUGUUGAAUUGGUGCGUUUGGACGUAGAUUCGCAGGGAUAGUCAGUAAUUUUAAAAGACUUUUUUAAAUUAAACUUUUGUGUAUUCAUUUGUCUAAAUUAUUUUUAUAAUAAAAACAACUUUUGACAAUGGAUCUCUUGGUUCUCGCAACGAUGAAGAACGCAGCAAAAUGCGAUAAGUAGUGUGAAUUGCAGAAUACGUGAAUCAUCGAAUCUUCGAACGCAUAUUGCACUUUUUAGUUUACUAAAAAGUAUGUCUGUUUGAGUAUCAGUAAAUAUUCUCAUAAAACUUUUUGUUUUUAUGGUUAUGAGUGUUUUACAACGAUACAAGUUGUUUCACUUUAAAUUUUUUAAAAUUUGAAUUUUUUCUAAUUUAAAUAAAAUUGGAUAAAAUUUUCCCGUAAAAAGGAAUAACCUAAACAAUUUUAAUUUAUUUAGAAAAAUCAAUUAAAGGAAAAUUUAACAAAAUAACUUGAUCUCAAAUCAGAUAAGAGUACCCGCUGAACUUAAGCAUAUCAAUAAGCGGAGGAAAAGAAACUAACAAGGAUUCCCUUAGUAACGGCGAGUGAAGCGGGAAGAGCUCAAAUUUGAAAUCUUCAAGGUUUACCUUGACGAAUUGUGUUUAAAGAAGUGUUUCUGUUGAAGUUUUGGUAAAAGUUCUUUGGAAUAGGACAUCAUAGAGGUGAGAAUCCCGUAUUGACCAUUAUUUUCAGCUGUGUGAUACACUUUCAAAGAGUCGGAUUGUUGGGAAUGCAGUCCAAAAUGGUGGUAAAUUUCAUCUAAAGCUAAUAUUGGCGAGAGACCGAUAGCGAACAAGUACCGUGAGGGAAAGAUGAAAAGAACUUUGAAAAGAGAGUUAAACAGUACGUGAAAUUGUCAAAAGGAAGCGUUUGACACCAGUGUGUUUCUCGAAAAUCAAUUAAAAUGGCUGGAUUUGUGUUGUAUUGACCUUAACAGCUUUCUUCACUUUUUCCUGUCUUUUUAAUGCACUUUUCGUUUAACAAGUCAACAUCAGUUUCUUUUGUUGUAAAAGGUCAUUGGAAGGUGGCUUCUUUCGGGAAAGUGUUAUAGCCUUUGAUCUCUGCAAUCGGAGGACUGAGGUCUGCAGCGUAGACUCUUCGGGUUAGAUACAUUGUGCUAAGUUAUAGCUUUUAUAGACAACUUGUUGACUAUGUUUAGUCUUGUAGCUACUCGCUUAUGCUAUUUUACCUACGCUUAGGAUGUGAC
rnacentral:misc_RNA from 1 species